UCUGUAGACACACCUCCCCUGCAAAAAGGGCCCUUCUGAGUGGAAGGGGGAGAAGGUAAACAGAGUUGAAUCACUCUCCCGGUUGACCAAUUGGUGGUGUUGGGGUGGGUUGGGGGGGCUCGUCGGAGGAACCUUUUGCGUGAUGGGCUUCUGUGAAAUUGGUCCUGAGCAAGACUGUGCCGGAACAGCGAGGAGCCGUAGGCGAGCGGGGAGUGAGUCAGGCAGUGGGCAGCAGCGCAACCAGCCAAAGUCUGUGCCGCCGCCGCUGCUCCUGCUGCUGCCGCCGCCGCCGCUUCCAGACCUCACGCUCGGGCUGAUGUUUCAGCCCCGCGCCUUCUGACGAGGGCGCGGAGAAGGCGCUGGGAAGGCUCGCCGAACCGGCCGGAGGAAGAAGCCAACGCGGCGGCGCUGGGCUGGGCUGGGCUGGGCUGGGCGGCGCGAACUGCUGGACUCCUGCCGCCGCGCUCCUUUCGUAUCUUCUUUCCCCUGGAAAGGGGUGGGGAGGAGGCGAAGACGACGAAGAGGGGAAAACACCCCCUGGUGCUACUUGAAUUACUUGAAACCACCACUUGUGACACUGUUUUCUCCCGAAGACCGCCUUAGAAGAUCCCAACCCCUCUCCGCCGGCGUGCUCGGGAGUGCAUGACACGCGCGCCGCCGCUCACACGAGCUGGAGUUGGCCGGCGUCGCUGGGAAGGGGGCGCGAGCAACGGCGGGGACUGAGGUCAAAAGGUAGGCUGAGCGGCGUUCCUCCCUUGUCGGCGGGGUCACGGAUGGUCGUGGUUAUGUAAGACGCCGAGCCGCAGAAGGGGUUCCCUGUGCCCGGCUGCUGAGGCACCCCACCCCACCUCUCCACCCCAGAUCUGCAGCCGGAAGGCAACACAGCGAGCAGCCUGGUGAUUGCAACACCCACCCGCCCACCUACCCACCCAGGCAGCCGAGAGGGAGAGGGCGGCGACGACAGGCAAGCAGGCGAGCAGCAAGGAAGUGGUUUUGAAUUGUUAGCUUUUUGCAAUUGGGUUCUAGUCUCUCCCUCCCUUUUAAUUUAUUGCCCCCUCGGUGGGAAGGGUGGCUGAUCAUCGCCCGCAGGAUGUCAGCAGUGGCUUACAUGGACUUUGUGGCUGCCCAGUGCUUGGUGUCCAUUUCCAACCGCUCCGUGGCACAGCAAGACGUGACCCGGGAAGCCGAGCUGCUGAAGAUGCCUGAGGAAGAAGAGGAGGAAGCAGCUGCUGUCGUGACCAAGGAAAUGAACGAUCCCCGGGACGCCUGGAAGGAUUAUUGCACUUUGGUGACCAUUGCCAAAAGCUUGUUGGACCUGAACAAAUACAGACCCCUCCCGACCCCGUCCAUCUGCAGUGACAGCGUGGAGAGCCCUGAUGAGGACGCCGGAUCAGACAGCGACGUGACCACCGAAUCUGGGUCGAGCCCUUCCCACAGCCCGGUGGAGGGGCAGGAUGCUGGCGGUGUGCCCGACCCCCUCUCCUCCCUCCUGCGCAGCGGAGUGCCUCCCAAAGGGAAGCUGGCCACCGAAAAAAGACAUAAGUGCCCCUACAGUGGAUGUGGCAAAGUCUAUGGCAAAUCCUCCCAUCUAAAAGCCCAUUACAGAGUGCAUACAGAAAGAAAAGAAACAUGGACCCAACUUUCUAAAUUCUGCAACUCAUCAAAACAAAGGGAAAAGAAAGUUCGAAACCCUGGAAAGCAGCCUGCAGUAUGCUUAACCAAGCAUUUUAAUAGGGGGAAUUCCAAGCUCCUUGCAUAGAUUACAAGAUGCAGCAACAAAAAAUACCCAGUCUGGACAGAUAGAUAUUUUGUCCAUGCACCUUCUCUGCACUGGGGCUCUUGACUCCAUUCUUGCUACUUCACUAGUGUCCUUGUCCACAGAAAACUACUAUACCAUGUAACAGUUCAAAUUACCUUUGUUCCUUCCAAGUGAGACCAACGAAGUUGCUGCCCCUGCCAACUGUACUUCCACAUUAGCACAGAGAUCCUGGUGCAAAAAAACCAUCAAGCUAAAGUUUUGUGUCCUAAGCACUGUUUUAAAAGUGCAUCUGUCAUUGCCUACACACAGUGGCCUCUCCUUACCAUCAAUGUUAUUUAAUUUAGGAGAUACAAUACCUACAGGAAAGGAAAUUCAUAUAUCUUAAGUCUGAAUACAUUUUCUUUCUUGCCUGCAUCAGUGUCUUUGCUGCAGCUGUAUGUUUUCUAGCAAGCUGAUUUUAAAAACAAAACAAAAAACAACACGUAUAUGAAGGGAAAAGAUGCUUUUUAAGCCUGCUGCCAGCUGGCCAUAAAGUAUCCAGAUGCUUGUAAAUAUCUGGAUUCAGUGACAGUGGAGCUCUCGGGAAGUGGGUUGUUCAGACCCCGAUAACCAACCAGUAAUGAUUUGUUUGGAAUAAUCAGAGCCAGAAGCAAAAUGAAAGAGCAGUAGGGCCUGUACCAAAAGUCUUGAAAUAACAGCAACCACUCUGGGACAAAGAAGAAAACCUGGUCAGAGCACAUUCUUAGUAACGCUCACCCAUCCAUAGACACUUAAUGACUUCUGGACAAUUCUGAGAUGUUCACAGCUGGAACAGACUGGCAUCAAGAGGCGAUGAUGAGAACUAAAUAGCCUCGUGGAAAUGCAAGAGAGCAGAUGUGUGGCUGGUCAACACAAGAACGUGGAAUGCUAAACACUCUUGGAAAAAAGCAGGAAUGACACAAAUUCCAGACGCCUUUGGAGACAAAGAGGAAUGCAAGAGGACACAUCUCUAUUCUUGGGGCUGCUGGAGGACUGUCCUCUGUUUGAAGACAUCCUCUCUUUGAAGGGCUGCCCUGUCUAAUUCUGGUUUGAAGAUAAAGAAUUGUAUGAGCUAUUGCCUUUCCAUAGUUGGCAGCUGGACAGCCUACUGAACAGGCAGGAACACAGAUCACCUGGUCACAGUCUUCCACACCAUCAUGAGAUGUAUUGCAUUUCUAUUUAAACUCUAAUAAUUAUGUCAAAAUUUGCAUCUGUACAUAUAAAUUAGCACAUGCCCACUACAUGCUUAUCUGUGUCCUCUUUUGCCCUCUUUUUUGGUGAUGCAUGUCUGCUUUUUUGGCAAUUCACAAGUGGCCACCAAAGGCCUAUCUAGUCCAGCAUCCUGCCUCCCACAGUGGCCAAUCAGAUGUAGACCACAAGCAGCCCUUGCUCUUAUUCCCCAGUGAGGAAUAAUUCUCUUAUUCGGGGGCAUGCUGUCUCUGAAGCUGGCAUAUAGCCAUCAUGACUUGUAGACAUUGAUACAUACUUAGAAUGUGCACAUGUUAUCCCUAUGGAUCUGUCCCUGGACCAGGGCUGGGAUUAAGGCUAAAGUGUUUUGAUUUGGGUAUGGCUUGAGGGUGUUUUUUUUCUGGAGUAUGGGUACAAGAGGCAUGUUUCCCUAUCCUGUGCUCUCACCAUCCACUGAUACUGCCUUGUAUAUCUCCUGGUCCUCGCCCUAUUACCACAUUCCUGUCAGUUAAGAUUGACUAGGGAGACCCUAUCCUUCAAUGAUAGUGCUGGGACUAGAAGUAGGGCCUUUUUUUAGAAGUUGUUCUAGUUCUAUAGAAUUUCCUCUCCAGUGAUUACUCACAGAGGCCUAACCUUCAGAAACCUGUUAACUGUUGAGACUUUCAUUCUAGAGAAAGAUUUUACUAUUUAACUUCACUGCUGAUUGAAACUUUAAUAUAGAAAAUUAGAUGCUUUUAAAAUGUCAUUGAUAUUCCUUCUAAUACUUAACAUGGGUGAUUGAAUGCUGACAUGAAUGGGACUAAAAUGAGGCUACUUUAGAAACGAGUAUUAACAUGCUUGGUGAAUCCCAAGAACAAAACAUUUUUAUAAACAAAGUGGUCAAUCUCCCCACCCCUCCACCAUCCAAUAUCCCAGUGGCCUCCAGGAGCCAGGGAAUGUCAUAAGCAAAGAAAAGUGGGCUGGGGGGAGGGGGGAAAGCAUGGAGUUAAUAGACCCACUUGAGCCCUGUAGACUUCACAGUAUCCCUCGUAUGGCUGGAUGGGUGGCACCCUGAACAGAGUGAGGUUCCACUGUAACCUCCAGUUGGAGGUCUUCAUCCAUCUAUCUUUUAUCUUAACUUUUGCAUUGAUCACUUUGAAAUUAUGUUUAUAAGAAAAUUAGGAUAUUGGGUCAUUUAAUUCACUAUAGAUCUAAGGAAUUCACAUACACAAGAGGUAGUGAUGGCCACCAAGCUGGACAGCUUUGUCAGGGGGUUGGACAAAUUCAAGGAGAAUAAGGUAUCAAUGGCUACUAGCCCUUCAAUUAUGGUGAUACUUGAUUGUGCCACCCUAUUUUAAUGUACCAGCCUCCAGCGUAAUUAAAACCAUUACCAAGUAGGUAGAUUCUGUGCCAGCCAGCAAGUGCAGAAUAGUAAGAUAUAAGAGGAACAGCUGAUCCUCUUAGCUAAUCAUUUACCUCAGUCCUCUGGAGCAAUCUCAAUAAGUUUUUAGCCACAGCAAUGCUCAAUCAGAGCAAACAAUCACGUUUUGAGUAUUGCUCAUUUUACCUUGCCCCUGAGGAACUUUUAUACUUUGCUCUAGGAUUUCAAUGUGUUUAGUUUCCAUUCAGAAGUAUAAUUCGGUAGCUUUGUUUUUGUUUUCCUCUGUCUU